UGCACCUUAGCACUAGAACUAGUAAUAUCAUUGCCAUAAUAAUUGUUUUAUAACAUUAAUACAAUAGAGUAUCUUAUGAACAACAAUAUUGACCUAUAUUGUCUCUUUUUGUACUAAACACAAUUUUCUUUUUCCCAAUCAUGAAGGUAAAUUAUUUCAUUCGCCCAUUAGCUGAACAUCAAUAUUUUUAGAUUUUCUAGCUUAAAUUUGUGUCUGGGCUAAAAUUCUUCAGUUUAUACCCAUAGCUUGAAUGCUAGAUCAAAGUUCUAUAUUAUAAUUUUGUAAGUUUGCAACAUUCCAGUACAAAAGUUUUAAAGUGCAAUACGAGAGUUGAGAUAUAGAAAAUAUUCUAUGUAUAGGUUAAAAUUUUUGUAUAUAAAAGUAAAUUGUUUAUAAUAGGCUAGUACAAAGUCCCCAACUUCAGAAUGCAAAAUUUUCAGUUAAAAAGUUCGUGACUUUGGAGCACAAAGUUCUGUAUCUAGGAGUAAAUUUUUUUAUGAUGUGCCAACACAAAGUUUUUGAAUACUAUUUGUUUUUUAAGGUACUACCUUGCGGUGCCUAGCACUCUCCAUCAAAAAAUAAACUAAUACUUUUGAGUUCUAGUAUUUUUUGGUAAUUUUGCCAAGGCAUUUGUGCAGUAGGUUCUUUUUUUGUUUUCACUAAACCAUGGAUAAUUCAUUUUUAUGAGUUUUGUAACUAUGAUUUGUCCAUUAACAAGAGGCUUACUAAACUCCUAUUCUGUACAGCUCAGGCUAAGGCAGCUUUGAAACAAGAGUUUGUUCCACAACACUUCGCAAGCAUUCAGUUUGGGAUUCAUGUGAAGUUUCUAGAGCUGGAGAAAAUUCUUUUUUCUCAAUGCAAGGUCACUUAUGCGGUGUAGUUCAGGAGCAGGAGCAAAAUCAUAUUUGAGGAUGUCAUUGAAUUUCUUUCGGACAUGUCCAUUGACGCUUUUCUACCAAAUAAUGAGCUUUCUCUUAUUAAGUUGAAAAACAACUUUUUAUGUCGAGAAAUGUUUAUGAACAAUUAUUUUUGUUGUAUUUAUUGUAGUGGCUCAUAUUCUAUUAUAGAAGGAACAUAAUACAUAUGCGAAAGUAUUGUGAUGUGUUAUUUUUUUUCUUGAAAUUUCAGUAGUGAAGUGUCACAUUUUUUUCUGCC